GAGCACGCUUUAUAUACACGUUUUUUGAAACGUCAAUGGAGAUAUAGAAUGGGGAAAAACACUUCCGGAACCAGAGCCAUUCAUAAAGUGGGCGGUCACUGUUGAGCUCUAGAUGAGUGGAUAGGCUGCAGUAUAUUUACGAGGGCAAUGCUUCUUUAUAAUCUUUCACCAAACAAAUCAAAUGUAAAAUGCCCAGCCUUAAAUAUACUGUACGUCACUGAUAAUGACUUUCCAUCUAUUAAAGCCGCUAUGUGUAGAACUUGUUU